ACUAUUGGAGUUAGAACAGCAUAUGUUCUAUAGGCUCGUACCGUUGCAUCCUUUACCAACAAGGAGGCAAGCACUCAAGUCUGGUUGACGAGUCCAUGACCUCUGGGCCCGCUGGAUUUUUCACAUUUUGGUCUUUUUGAAAAAAUUAUUUCGCAAAUAGACGCUUGGAAAAACUUAUCCCAGAAAUGGUCUUUUUGCGCCAGCCA
rnacentral:snoRNA from 1 species